CCCAACGUUUCGGCACAAAUGGCCUUUGUCAAAUGGCCUUUGUCACCCUUGACAAAGGCCAUUUGUGCCGAAAUGUUGGG